rnacentral:rRNA from 1 species
UACGGGGGGGGCAAGCGUUGUUCGGAAUUACUGGGCGUAAAGGGUGCGUAGGCGGUCGUGCAAGUCGGAUGUGAAAUCUCAGGGCUCAACCCUGAAACUGCAUUCGAUACUGCGCGGCUAGAGUGCUGGAGGGGAGACUGGAAUUUACGGUGUAGCAGUGAAAUGCGUAGAUAUCGUAAGGAAGACCAGUGGCGAAGGCGAGUCUCUGGACAGCAACUGACGCUGAGGCACGAAGGCCAGGGGAGCAAACGGG